GAUGAACGCUGGCGGCGUGCCUAAUACAUGCAAGUCGAGCGAACGGACGAGAAGCUUGCUUCUCUGAUGUUAGCGGCGGACGGGUGAGUAACACGUGGAUAACCUACCUAUAAGACUGGGAUAACUUCGGGAAACCGGAUCUAAUACCGGAUAAUAUUUUGAACCGCAUGGUUCAAAAGUGAAAGACGGUCUUGCUUUCACUUAUAGAUGGAUCCGCGCUGCAUUAGCUAGUUGGUAAGGUAACGGCUUACCAAGGCAACGAUGCAUAGCCGACCUGAGAGGGUGAUCGGCCACACUGGAACUGAGACACGGUCCAGACUCCUACGGGAGGCAGCAGUAGGGAAUCUUCCGCAAUGGGCGAAAGCCUGACGGAGCAACGCCGCGUGAGUGAUGAAGGUCUUCGGAUCGUAAAACUCUGUUAUUAGGGAAGAACAUAUGUGUAAGUAACUGUGCACAUCGUGACGGUACCUAAUCAGAAAGCCACGGCUAACUACGUG
rnacentral:rRNA from 1 species